rnacentral:rRNA from 1 species
GAUGAACGCUUGCGGCGUGCCUAAUACAUUCAAUUCGAGCGAACAGAUGUUGAGCUUGCUCCUCUGACGUUAGCGUCGUUCGGGUGAUUAACACGUGAAUAUCUUUCCUUUAAGACUGGGAUUACUUCUGGAAACCGGAGCUCAUACCUGACAAUAUAUUGCACCGGUUGGUUCAAUAGCGAAAGACGCUUUUGCUGUUCCUUAUAGAUGUAUCCUCGCCGCAUUAGCUAGUUGGUAAGGUAACGGCUUACCAAGGCAACGAUGCGUAGCCGACCUGAGAGGAUGAUCGGCCAGACUGGAACUGAGACACGGUCCAGACUCCUACGGGAGGCAGCAGUAGGGAAUCUUCCAGAAAGGGCGAAAGCAUGACGCAGCAACGCCGCGUGAGUGAUGAAGGUCUUCGGAUCGUAAAACACUGUAAUUAGGGAAGAACAAAUGUGUAAGUAAAUCUGAACGUCUUGACGGUACCAAAUCAGAAAGCCACGGCUAACUACGUG